GACGAACCGUGCGAACGUUGUUCGGAAUCACUGGGCUUAAAGGGCGCGUAGGCGGGCUCGCAAGUCAGGGGUGAAAGCCCACGGCUCAACCGUGGAAGUGCCUUUGAUACUGCGGGCCUUUGAGGGAGGUAGGGGCGUGCGGAACUUCCGGUGGAGCGGUGAAAUGCGUAGAUAUCGGAAGGAACACCGGUGGCGAAAGCGGCGCGCUGGACCUCUUCUGACGCUGAGGCGCGAAAGCCAGGGGAGCAAACGGGG
rnacentral:rRNA from 1 species